rnacentral:sRNA from 1 species
CAUCUGUAGCCCGGACAGAGGAUGAGAAUCUCCGGGGGUAAGAGGUUCGACCCGAGCGCAGCGAGAGAACGUUGCGUCAGCAACGGCCCGCAGGGCGAGCCACGAAGUGGCGAGUUAUCCUCUAUCACCGACCA